CAUUAACCAAACAGAAGCACAAAGCAGGGGUGGGAAGGGGAGGAGCUGGAUGCCAGGGUCAGGAAAGAAACAAUCAGAAGGGUUUAGGAACAUCCAAAUCUCCUCAGCGGUUAAACCGACCCCAAACCACUUCUGGGAAACCACCGGUAUCCACUGCUUUGGGGAACUCUGGAUGCUCGUUAUGCCAAACGCUCUCAAACGCCUCUCUGCGCCCCUCUCCGCCCCGCCUCCCUCCUAGGUGAAGGAAGAUGAUUUCCCCCCCAUCUUGACCACCCCCCAGUCUUCGCCGCCAAAAACGGACUCCGCCGGCUAUCCUCGGCCCGGUACCAGUUGUUGGAUCCAAGAGAAUUCCGGAACCCAAACGGUGCUCGCUCAAAGCACUUUAUUGGCAGUGAAACCGCAAGUAACCCGGAGCCCUCGGCGCGACCACGGCUAGAAUCAGAGCCUAAGGCGUGUGAGCUCAGCCAUCCCACGUCUGUCUUCACGCUCAUACGCAAGCCCGACACACCGGGGCUCCCACUUAAUGAAUACUGAAGAGUAGGGCUGUCCCUACCGCUUCUCACUUCCUUGUUUUCAUCUUUUCGUUAUUAUUAAGCGACCUAACACAAUAAACAUAUUACCUUGUUGGU
rnacentral:lncRNA from 1 species